GUUCACUUUUACAACAGUCUCACGAAGUGGCAUUCAAAGCAUGUCUUCAUGCCCCUAUGACCUUCUCCCAAUCCAUUUCCUGUUUACCGCACCGUGAAGACUUCCAUGGAGGUCAAACAGACCGUAUACCUACGAAUGAUUUUGUCAGAAAAUGAAGGGGGAAUUCUGGGACACUUUCCCUAUGGACUGUAAUCCACCAGGAUCCUCUGUCCAUGGAAUUCUCCGGGCAAGAACACUGAAGUGGGUCGCCAUGCCCUCCUCCAGAGGGUCGAUCCUGACCCAGCGAUUGAACUCAUGUCUCCUGCUUUCGCAAGUGAAUUCUUCAUCACUAGCGCCACCUGGAAACCCCACUUUACAUAGUGACACCAGUCAUACAUAUGUUUAGUAUUCUUGUGGGCAAUUAACAGAGUAGAACAUAGAGCACUGAAAUUUAUUAUUUGAGGGGUACAUUAUCUUAUUAUUCUUUGAAUCAUCAGCAUGUGGCACAGUUCCUGAUACAUUAUAGACAAUGCAUGUUAAAAUCACGAGCGCAUAAUUACUAAUAUUCACUUGAUUAAUAAUUUGGGUAGGUUAAAAAAAGUCUUAAAAUGGAUGAAGGAAUGAAACAGGCUAUGAUUCAUCAUCAUAGGUUAACUAGUAGGAGUUUAAAACCUGAACAGCAACAACAAAAAAAACCCUAUUAGGAAUGACAUCUGAGUCACAAACCCAGUAAUAGAAGCCUUGAGUUUUAAAGCAUGUGUUGCAAUCACUUAAUUUCAAUCAU